CGACGGCGGCGGAGACGUCUUCUGUACUGCGAGCUCCACCAUCCCUACACAUACUGUACUGCGAGCUCGACGACGACAGUGGCGUCUUCUUGGCAGGUUAAGCUUCCCUCCUUCAAUUCCCCUCCAUGAUUUAUGUGUCAAAACUGAUUUUUUUACUGAAAUUUGCUGCUUCUGACAUUUGCUUAAGACUGCAUGCCGGCCAACUGGUAUUUCUUCAGUUAGCAAAACAUGGCAGACAAAUCUCACUAGGGGAUCACACUUGGCCUGACCACAUCUGUGUGUAACUAGGGGAUCACACUUGGGGACACAAUGGGCUAAUUGGCUAAUUUCUUCAGCAGCUCAUCCUAUUUUUACCUAAUUGGCUGCAACCUCAGUCUCACUAGGGCAUCACACUUGGCCUGACAACAUCUGUGUGUAAACUAGAAAUUCUAGCUUAGACUGAAACUUGAACAACUGAAUUUAUGCAUUUCAACUAGCAAAUGUGAGAUAAGAGUGAACAUUUAUUCUCAACUAGCAAAUGUCAGAUAAAUCAAAUUACUAAUUAGUUUUAGUGAUGGAUCUAGCAGGAUGAGUCAGUGAUUAAAAUCAUCCAUGAAUGAAUUAGUUAGAGGGCAGCCAACAGUACUUAGUGUACUACUGCUGCUGUCUAGUGCUCCUUUCAUGACAGAGGUAGAUAAAUGGAGUACUCCUUUUCAAGUAAUUUUGUCAUUUGUUUCAUGAUGUGGCAAGUAAUUUUGUCAUUGUUUCAGACUGCAAUCAAGUGUUUUUUCAUUAUUUCAAAAUGCUUCAGACUGCUAGAUUCAAGUUCUGCUGAAACUGAAAAAAGGAAAAAAAAAAACCACACCUGAAUAAUUUUCGAGUUCAGAACCACACAUUUUAUCAUUCUACUUCCAGGAAUUGAACAUUUUGCAUUGUUGGACUGACAGGAGUAGAAAAAUUGGAGUACACAGUGUACUGAGUUUUCAAUCCUUGAUUGUUGUACUGGCAUGAAGCAAUAGAAAUGGCUGCCAUGGCACCAUUUCGAGAAAUAAGUGUAUAGUGUCAAAAUAUUCAUGUGAUUUCAAACUCGUGGCCAAACUGUUGUACAUUAUGUUUUCGGUAAGGAGCUCAAGUUCUUAACACUUAAUCAAAUUAGAUACAGUCUUGGCAUUUUUCUGUUUGUACACCGAAUCAAAUUACUCUUGGUUGUAGCUAAGCUACCAUCAAAUUUUUCUUACUCCAUCAAAUUACUCUUGGCUGUAGCUCCCAGACAGAAUUAAGCGAAUCGGAAUUACUAUUGUAAAUAAAUCCAAGAUUGUUUAGAAUAAGAUACUGAUUGACAUACAUCAGAAUGAUACUAUUGGAGCAUUACUAGAGUAAUUUGUUGUUCCUCAUUUUGAAUGAGUGGUUAUACUGCUGUCAAAACUACUCCAUACACACACUGUCAAACUGACAAGAUGGUGGUGGAGGUGGGAAUAAAUGUUCCAGCACAUCUGCUGGAGUAGAAAAUAAAUGUGUGUAGUUUGCUCCACAGCAACCACACACACUGUGAAAACUGACAAUAUGUUAUACUGUUGUCAAAACUGAAAACUGUUGUCAUUUUAACUAAAUUCAAAUAAAUCCAAAUACUUCUAUCCUUUCUCAUUGAACACAUGACACAAUACAUACACAUGACACAAGCCAUACACAUGACACAACACAUACACAUGACACAUGACACAUCACAUACUCCUAUCCUUUCUUUUCCUUUUCCCUUUCCCUUUCUUUUUUCCUCUCUCUAACUACUCAUUUGCUUGUUCUAUAAUGGCCUUGUUGUCAGUAAUUAGCUCAGGACUGUAGUAUACACCGAUUAUUUCCUCUCCAACAUUCUGUAGAUGUUCCUUAUGCAGAUGCGGCAUCUUGUAAUUGUUUCCUCCUUGAUCUUUCAUCACUUCCACCAUGACUGCUUGCAACAUCAUAAAGCUUUUGAACAGCUUAUGGGCAUCGUAGUUCUCAAACUCCUCCUCUACACCCUGUACCAGUUCCUGUAUAUUCAUAGGCGCUCUGCAGUCGGUUAGGGAUUGGAGGGAGCAGUGGAAAUAAUGAUCUAGAACAUUGAGCUCAGGGCUGUUCAGUGGUUGUUGCAAUAGUCGAAUAUCCAGAUCUAUCUGUGCCACGGCUUCUAGAAAACCAGCAUCAUUAGGGAGGACAUGCGGUGUUGCAUUAUCUUGUUGAAUGAAGAUCGUUGUGUCCUCGUCACCGUCAGGCCAUUUGUCUUGAAUGGCAGGGAUUACUUUAUUGAUCAGGUAAUCUCUGCACACAGGUCUAGUAACUUUGACCAGCCUCAACUCUAUUGUCCCCUAUCUCUGUUGUGGCUUGUUCGUUGCGUCUCGGUCUCUACCACGAACGGCCAAAUGCUAAGCUUUCCAUCAAAUGUCAUCUCCCCAUCUUCAUUGUAGCGAGGUUUGGCCACAGCUGUUAGAAACAUUACCUUCCCAAUGCUAUGAGUAUUGUGCACAGUUCGAUUUGGUUGUUCUUCUCCAGGCAGUACGUAGUAGCUACUCUUCACUCGGGUCAUGUCAUACCAUUUCUCAUCGAUGUGGACCAUAUUUGUCAUUGGCUUGAAACUAGGCCAAGGACUUGAUAUCCAUCUUUCAUCCAUCAUGGAUAGGCAGAACUUUAGUCUCGCUAUCUUGUUAUGUGGCUUGAGGGUGGGUUUGAUGGUGCUCGUGAUGCGUUUCAACUCUUGCAACUGAAAUUGGUCAUGUAGGGUUGAUCGGGGAACACCUAAACACCUUGCAAGAGAACAGAUUGUUCUUCUUUUGUUCAAAGGGAUUGUAGCUGUUCUCGACAGAUCUAGUUCUUUCCUCUUCCUACCAUUGUUAUUCUUCUUGCUUGAAACAUCAACUUCUUGGCCUGCUGCAAGUUGUCUUUUGGCUAGAUUCCAUAUUCUUGUAACUGUUCGUAGGUGAACAUUCAGCAUAGUCGCAAUGAGCACCCUGUCAUACAGGUGAACUUGUCCAUCUCUAAGCUCGAUUACUCGCAGAGCAAAGUAAACACCAUAUCUCUCCUUGUCUGUCAGGUCCUUCCCUCUUGGGUUGCCUUGUGCAUCAGCUUCUUGAGCUUCUCCCACUUUUGCAUCUUCUUGUGCCUCUUGAGCUUCUUCCACUAAUGCAUCUUCUUGUGCCUCCUGAGCUUCUUCCACUAAUGCAUCUUCUUAUACCUCUUGAGCUUCUUCCUCUUCAGGAAACCAAUUCAAUUCAAUGUCUUCAUCCUUCUCUUCCGGGAUCAAGUUAAAAUCAAAAGUGCCACCUUGCUGAGCUUGUUCUUCUUGUUGAGCUUCAUCCUCCUCUUCCGGGAUCAAGUUCAAAUCAAUAGUGCCACCUUGCUGAGCUUGUUCUUCUUGUUGAGCUUCAUCCUCCUCGUUCAAAUCCAUAGUUGUGUGCUCCUGUCUGAUCUCAUAACAAGAGUAUACACAAAGAUGAAUUGUUAGCAUAUAAUCAUAACAAGAAAACCAUGAAGAAUCCUAGACAAAAAGCAAAGAAACCAAGAAAGGGAAAAGUAGAGAUUAAAAGUACUCCUUGUUCAUUUUGGUAACUAGAGGAACAUGAUGGCCCUCCUAUUCCUGAGCAAUGAUUACUGGACACAUGAUUACUGGACACAUCAUGAGCAACGACCUAUUAGAUCAUCUCCAUUUUUAUUUUUAUUGGUCUUUUUAACAGUUUUCAGUAGCACACCAUGACACUAUUUGCACAAAACAGAGCUCACUGAAAAGUAAGACUAUGAUCAACAUCAAACUACUCCUUGACAAGCAGUGAUCACUACUGAACACGAUCAUAUUCUAGUACAUCAAACUGACUUUUUUGUAAUCUUAUUCUGAGAGAUUAAAAGUAGAUGGUCAUUCCUUAAAGAAACAUGACACACCAAAAUUCAGAGGAACAUCCCCAAGCCCCUAUUCUUAUUCUUAUUCUGUAAUCUUAUUUACUCACUGAAUUUUCAUUCUGUAAUCGUUUCCUUGUGACCUCCAAUUCUAAACCCUGAUUAAUACUGCAUGCAGGCAAAAUUCCUAACUGUUGGAGUAGCUUCGUCAUAAGCCUGAAAUGCAACUUGGUAAAUCUUGUCACCUGUGUAAAUUGUUUAGAAAUGUUCAUUCAGAGAAUUUGUUGGUACUCUUUGCUUGUGUUGAAUAACAAGAAGAUUUUUCCCAUUUUACUUGUGUUGAAUAACCUGUGAACAAAAUUCAGGUUCCAACAGAGCAUGCAUGACCUGUGAACAAAAUUCCCAUUUUACUUGGGUUCUGCAUGAUGUUGGGAAGAUGCAUAAUUCCGGUAUUCGUUUGUGCUGUGCAUUUUUAUCAAUAAAGUUUGCAUACUCCAUGUGUGUUCACUGAAUUUUCAUCAAUAUGCAGUGUAUGUCCACUUAUUUUGAUUUUGCAAUGAUCAUCAUCAUUCUCAGUUUUUGUAUAACAAGAAAUACUCCUGAAUUUCUUCAAUACUGGAGUACUGAAUGUUUUCAGUUUUUGCAAGAAAUAACAUUGGAGUAUGUUUCAGUUUUCACUUUUCUUCAACACUGAACACCUAUUGGAUGAUCUACACACUUAAUGCAUCAAUUUAGAGUAAGAUGAACCUGACAUUGACAUUUGGUGUCUAUUUUGAACCUGACAAUGAACCUGACAUUAACAGUCAACCUGACAUUUAACAGGAGGACAAUUGGACAACAGGAGAACAAUUGGACAACAUCAUCAGGAGGUUAGCAACCAACACGAACUGCAACACGAAAUUUCAGGAUAAUCGGGAGGACAGCAACAAUAAAUUUCAGGAUCACAAAGAGUUCAGUGGAGGCGGGGGCGGGGACGGGGAUUGGAGUACCAACCGUCCGCAAUAGUGGUGGGGUGGGGGG
rnacentral:lncRNA from 1 species